AUUGAACGCUGGCGGCAGGCCUAACACAUGCAAGUCGAACGGUAACAGGAAACAGCUUGCUGUUUCGCUGACGAGUGGCGGACGGGUGUGUAAUGUCUGGGAAACUGCCUGAUGGAGGGGGAUAACUACUGGAAACGGUAGCUAAUACCGCAUAACGUCGCAAGACCAAAGAGGGGGACCUUCGGGCCUCUUGCCAUCGGAUGUGCCCAGAUGGGAUUAGCUAGUAGGUGGGGUAACGGCUCACCUAGGCGACGAUCCCUAGCUGGUCUGAGAGGAUGACCAGCCACACUGGAACUGAGACACGGUCCAGACUCCUACGGGAGGCAGCAGUGGGGAAUAUUGCACAAUGGGCGCAAGCCUGAUGCAGCCAUGCCGCGUGUAUGAAGAAGGCCUUCGGGUUGUAAAGUACUUUCAGCGGGGAUGAAGGGAGUAAAGUUAAUACCUUUGCUCAUUGACGUUACCCGCAGAAGAAGCACCGGCUAACUCCGUG
rnacentral:rRNA from 1 species